rnacentral:lncRNA from 1 species
AAAAACCCAAACAACCCCAACUGAUUUAUUUUAAGAUAAGUUAGAUAAGGUAGAAACAUAAUUGUUGAAAAAUGGAUCCCGGAAUGCUUCAUUAAGUUCAGACAAAUUUUUUCCAGGAUGUGGGAAGAUCUCUAACUUCAUUGCUGAUAGCUAUCAAUGUAAGCAUUGGAAUGCAGUUCCUCCAAGUCUGUAGUAGUCCAAAGGGAAGAGGGAUGGAGCAAGCAUUUAGUAAGCACUGAAAUGUGCUACACAUUCUGCUAAGCAUUUUACAAAUAUUUCAUUUGA